AGAGUUUGAUCAUGGCUCAGAAUGAACGCUGGCGGCGUGCUUAACACAUGCAAGUCGCACGAGAAUUCUUCUGCUUGCAGAAGAUAGUAAAGUGGCGCACGGGUGAGUAAUGCGUGGGUAAUCUUCCCUUGAAUCGGGGAUAACAUCGCGAAAGCUUUGCUAAUACCGGAUAACAUCCAUUUGUCUGCGGGCGAAUGGAUCAAAGGUGGCCUCUACAUGUAAGCUACUGUUUGAGGAUGAGCCUGCGUACCAUUAGUUAGUUGGCGGGGUAACGGCCCACCAAGGCGACGAUGGUUAGCUGGUCUGAGAGGAUGAUCAGCCACACUGGAACUGACACACGGUCCAGACUCCUACGGGAGGCAGCAGUGAGGAAUUUUGCGCAAUGGGGGAAACCCUGACGCAGCAACGCCGCGUGAGUGAUGAAGGCCUUCGGGUCGUAAAGCUCUGUCAAGUGGGAAGAACCUGCAGAAAGCUAACAUCUUUUUGCACUGACGGUACCACUGAAGGAAGCACCGGCUAACUCCGUGCCAGCAGCCGCGGUAAUACGGAGGGUGCGAGCGUUAUUCGGAAUUAUUGGGCGUAAAGGGCGCGUAGGCGGCCGUUUAAGUCAGGUGUGAAAGCCCGGGGCUUAACCCCGGAAGUGCAUUUGAUACUGAGCGGCUUGAGUAUGGGAGAGGGAAGUGGAAUUCCUGGUGUAGAGGUGAAAUUCGUAGAUAUCAGGAGGAACACCGGUGGCGAAGGCGACUUCCUGGACCAAUACUGACGCUGAGGCGCGAAGGCGUGGGGAUCAAACAGGAUUAGAUACCCUGGUAGUCCACGCAGUAAACGGUGAUCACUAGGUGUAGCGGGUAUUGACCCCUGCUGUGCCGCAGCUAACGCAUUAAGUGAUCCGCCUGGGGAGUACGAUCGCAAGGUUAAAACUCAAAUGAAUUGACGG
rnacentral:rRNA from 1 species